rfam:Eubacterium sp. CAG:841 genomic scaffold, scf89
UUUUUAGGUAGAGGCGCGGUGUUUAUAAGUAACGCGAACGAGAAGUAUCCGCUUCCGUGCGAAAGGAAACACUGCCGAGGGUACACGGUACGGAUUUUGCCGUGUAAACCGGUAUUGCAGAUAAUAUCUGCCGUACUGUCACUUAGGUGGAGAGCUAUCAUUGGA